AGCCCAAAUUUGAAAUGGAGUAGAUUUGUAUUAUCAGCUGACCAUACUAAUCUACUCUACUUCAAGUUUGCGCCC
rfam:Haemonchus contortus, ISE/inbred ISE, WGS project CAVP01000000 data, contig: Hcontortus_contig_pathogens_Hcontortus_scaffold_5538